rnacentral:rRNA from 1 species
UACGUAGGGUGCGAGCGUUAAUCGGAAUUACUGGGCGUAAAGCGUGCGCAGGCGGUGAUGUAAGACAGGUGUGAAAUCCCCGGGCUUAACCUGGGAACUGCAUUUGUGACUGCAUCGCUGGAGUGCGGCAGAGGGGGAUGGAAUUCCGCGUGUAGCAGUGAAAUGCGUAGAUAUGCGGAGGAACACCGAUGGCGAAGGCAAUCCCCUGGGCCUGCACUGACGCUGAAGCUCGAAAGCUAGGGGAGCAAACGGG